rnacentral:rRNA from 1 species
GAUGAACGCUGGCGGCGUGCUUAACACAUGCAAGUCGAACGGUGAACGAGGGAGCUUGCUCCCUCCGGAUCAGUGGCGAACGGGUGAGUAACACGUGAGCAAUCUGCCCCUGACUCUGGGAUAAGCGCUGGAAACGGCGUCUAAUACUGGAUACGAACCGUGGAGGCAUCUUCAACGGUUGGAAAGAUUUUUUGGUCAGGGAUGAGCUCGCGGCCUAUCAGCUUGUUGGUGAGGUAAUGGCUCACCAAGGCGUCGACGGGUAGCCGGCCUGAGAGGGUGACCGGCCACACUGGGACUGAGACACGGCCCAGACUCCUACGGGAGGCAGCAGUGGGGAAUAUUGCACAAUGGGCGAAAGCCUGAUGCAGCAACGCCGCGUGAGGGAUGACGGCCUUCGGGUUGUAAACCUCUUUUAGCAGGGAAGAAGCGAAAGUGACGGUACCUGCAGAAAAAGCGCCGGCUAACUACGUGCCAGCAGCCGCCGUAAAAC